AGGAGGAACAACCGCAGUGGCGGGGCCAGCUCUGGAGCCCUGGAUUCAGCCCCCGCAGUAGCAAAGGAGCUCUCGGUCUGCAGGGCCUGGAGGCUCCGGGGCGGG
rnacentral:pre_miRNA from 1 species